rnacentral:tRNA from 1 species
AGGGCUGUAGCUCAAUUUGGUAGAGCACCGGUCUCCAAAACCGGCGGUUGCAGGUUCAAUUCCUGUCGGCCCUGCCA